rnacentral:rRNA from 2 species
CCUACGGGAGGCAGCAGUGGGGAAUAUUGGACAAUGGGGGCAACCCUGAUCCAGCCAUGCCGCGUGCGUGAAGAAGGCUUUAGGGUUGUAAAGCGCUUUCACCGGUGACGAUGAUGACGGUAACCGGAGAAGAAGCCCCGGCUAACUCCGUGCCAGCAGCCGCGGUAAUACGGAGGGGGCAAGCGUUGUUCGGAAUUACUGGGCGUAAAGGGCGCGUAGGCGGGAUGUCAAGUCAGGGGUGAAAGGCCUGGGCUCAACCUGGGAACUGCCUUUGAAACUGACAUUCUGGAGUCCGGGAGAGGAUGGCGGAAUUCCCAGUGUAGAGGUGAAAUUCGUAGAUAUUGGGAAGAACACCGGUGGCGAAGGCGGCCAUCUGGACCGGUACUGACGCUAAGGCGCGAAAGCGUGGGGAGCAAACAGGAUUAGAUACCCUGGUAGUCCACGCCGUAAACGAUGUGUGCUAGCCGUUGGGGCCUUGGGCUUCGGUGGCGCAGUUAACGCGUUAAGCACACCGCCUGGGGAGUACGGCCGCAAGGUUAAAACUCAAAGGAAUGACGGAAUCGUCGACNGCAGGCAUGCA